rnacentral:rRNA from 1 species
GACGAACGCUGGCGGCGUGCUUAACACAUGCAAGUCGAACGGAAAGGCCCUGCUUUUGUGGGGUGCUCGAGUGGCGAACGGGUGAGUAACACGUGAGUAACCUGCCCUUGACUUUGGGAUAACUUCAGGAAACUGGGGCUAAUACCGGAUAGGAGCUCCUGCUGCAUGGUGGGGGUUGGAAAGUUUCGGCGGUUGGGGAUGGACUCGCGGCUUAUCAGCUUGUUGGUGGGGUAGUGGCUUACCAAGGCUUUGACGGGUAGCCGGCCUGGGAGGGUGACCGGCCACAUUGGGACUGAGAUACGGCCCAGACUCCUACGGGAGGCAGCAGUGGGGAAUAUUGCACAAUGGGCGGAAGCCGUAUGCAGCAACGCCGCGUGCGGGAUGACGGCCUUCGGGUUGUAAACCGCUUUCGCCUGUGACGAAGCGUGAGUGACGGUAAUGGGUAAAGAAGCACCGGCUAACUACGUG